rnacentral:ncRNA from 1 species
GGAGUAGGAUACAGCGCGUUAAGUGCCGGACGGAUAGGAGGUUGCCGCCGGACGAAGGAGCUUCGGCUCCGCGGUGCCGUAUCCGC